CCUACGGUGGGCUGCAGUGGGGAAUAUUGGACAAUGGGCGAAAGCCUGAUCCAGCCAUGCCGCGUGUGUGAAGAAGGCCUUCGGGUUGUAAAGCACUUUCAGUGGGGAAGAAAGCCUUGGGGCUAAUACCCUCGAGGAAGGACAUCACCCACAGAAGAAGCACCGGCUAACUCCGUGCCAGCAGCCGCGGUAAUACAGGAGGGUGCGAGCGUUAAUCGGAAUUACUGGGCGUAAAGCGCGCGUAGGCGGUCUGAUAAGCCGGUUGUGAAAGCCCCGGGCUCAACCUGGGAACGGCAUCCGGAACUGUCAGGCUAGAGUGCAGGAGAGGAAGGUAGAAUUCCCGGUGUAGCGGUGAAAUGCGUAGAGAUCGGGAGGAAUACCAGUGGCGAAGGCGGCCUUCUGGACUGACACUGACGCUGAGGUGCGAAAGCGUGGGUAGCAAACAGGAUUAGAUACCCGAGUAGUC
rnacentral:rRNA from 1 species